rnacentral:lncRNA from 10 species
CAAGGCCUGCUGCCUCUGUAGAUUCCACCUCUGGGGGCAGGGCAUAGCUGAACAAAAGGCAGCAGAAACUUCUGCAGACUUAAAUGUCCCUGUCUGACAGCUCUGAAGAGAGCAGUUGUUCUCCCAGCAUGGUGUUUGAGCUCAGAGAACAGACAGGCUGCCUCAUCAAGUGGGUCCCUGACCCCCAUGUAGCCUAACUGGGAGACACCUCCCAGUAGGGGCUGACUGACACCUCAUACACGCAGGUGCCCUUCCGGGAUGAAGCUUCCAGAGGAAGGAUCAGACAGCAAUAUUUGCUGUUCUGCAAUAUUUGCUGUUCCACAGCCUCUGCUGAUGAUACCCAGGCAAACAGGAUCCAGAGUGGACCUCCAGCAAAAUCCAACAGACCUGCAGCUGAGGAGUCAAUAUCAUGAAAAUGGACAAAAUGUCCAAGGUAAUUUAUAGAUUCAGUGCCAUCCCCAUCAAGUUACCAAUGACUUUCUUCACAGAAUUGGAAAAACUACUUUACAGUUCAUUUGGAACCAAAAAACAGGCUGCAUUGCCAAGACAAUUCUAAGCAAAAAGAACAAAGCUGGAGGCAUCAUGCUACCUGACUUCAAACUAUACUACAAGGCUAUAGUAACCAAAACAGCAUGGUACUGGUACCAAAACAGAUAUAUAGACCAAUGGAACAGAACAGAGGCCUCAGAAAUAACACCACACAUCUACAACCAUCUGAUCUUUGAUGAACCUAACAAAAACAAGAAAUGGGGAAAGGAUUCCCUAUUUAAUAAAUGGUGCCGGGAAAACU